CAAGAGAGAAAAUUAGACAUAGAGACACAUAGAGGAAAGAUGGUCUUGUGAAGAAAAAGGUAGAAAUUGGAGUGAUGUAGCUGUAAGCAUUGACAUGUUUCAAGCUCAAGUGAGAAGCAAACUAGGGAAUUUUUGCUGAAAGUUCACUGAAAAUAUCUAGAAUGACUGGAGUAAGAAAAGCAGAAGUGUAUAAGAGCGAGUAUUCAGCUCAUAGAACAAAGAUUUAGGAGAAGAAAGAAUCCCAGAAAGCCCCACCUACACAAAAAUUUCCGAUGUAAGACACCACUUCUAUAAGAGGUAUUCACUGUAGAUGUACAGAAGUCAAAGGAAAUCUAAGUUUACAAGAAAAAUAAACCAGAUUAUCAUUCUAACCAACUGCAUGUUCACACAGAUGCUCAAUAAAA